rnacentral:tRNA from 1 species
GCGAGGGUAAGGAAGUGGUCAAACCUCAGGAGUCUAAACCUCCUGGCUGAAGAGCUUCGGGAGUUCGAAUCUCCCUCCUCGCA